rnacentral:tRNA from 1 species
GGGUAUGUAGCUCAAUUGGUAGAGCAUUAGGCUUUUAACCUACUGGUCACAGGUUCGAAUCCUGUCAUACUUA